CGGAGAGUUCGAAAUUCGAAUGAAUGGCGGGAACACAUAGUAGACAGGCUGGUCGACGUAGAGGACAGUCAUGCAGCUUGCCAAAAUCCCAUUUAUCACCAUUGAAUGAAUGUGUCGGGAGGAGGAGCCGGUAUUCCCCUCCUCUCCCUAGAGAGCAUGAGCAGCAUGGCAAAUGCUGAUUCUGAGGCAGCAGAGCCCAAGAGAAGAUCUGAGCGAUUGGUUAACAAACCGGCUACUCCAAAGGCAGAGCCCAAGCCAAAGAAGGAGAAGGCAGCACCUAAGCCCAAGAAGGCUAAAGAGGUGAAGAAGACUGAGCCUGAGGAGAAGGAGGAGGUGCCCGCAGAGAAUGGGGAAGCCAAAGCUGAGGAUGAGGCACCAGCCACAGAUGAACCUGAACAGAAAGAUGAUGAAGAGGAGGCAGCAGAAUAACAUCUCUCAAACCACAUCUUUUAUCAGUGCUCCCUGUACCUCUUUUUCUUGUACAAUUCAGGGGAAUAUUUUUAUCGACUUUUCUAAAUGCAGGUUUUUUAGUAGUUUGAUUGUAGAAACAUUUUUUUAUGAAACAAAAUAAAUUUGGAGACAGGGAUUUCAAUGCAUCCCGCAUUUUUACAUCUCCGGAACAAUUAUGGUCAUUGUAAAUUGUCAAAUGUUUUUAUUUUCAAUGUAGGGGAAAGAAGGGGUGGGACAGGUUGCUGUAUCAAGAACAUGCAAUCACGUCGUUUACAGGAUCCGGUUGAAACAACAGAGCUUGCCUAAAAAGAGACUAACAUUCCAUAGGCUAUAUGAGGGACGGUAUAUGUAACCUGCAUUGUGUGGUGGGGAGGGGAUGAAUAACUGAACACAUUGUUGUAUUGUUUAUAAUGAGGAAAUGCGUUUUAGAAUGUUUGUAAGCUGUGUUCCACAUGUUAACUCUUGUACUCAUGGCAACUUUUUUUUGCUUUUUUUUUUUUUUUUUCGAACCAUUCUGCUUAAUAAACCUUUUCUCUAGUACUGGAGUUUCUCCCUAUCAGGCCUGUGCAUUGCGCGUAAUUGGUUUUGUCUUUGUUUUGUGAUAGCAUUGCAAUACAUUUGUAUAGAUGCUGUUAAAAAGGGUUUUCAAACAUUAUAUGCAGUGUGUACACUGUGAGGAUGGUAAAAAUGGAAUUCUGUGUUUUUAGCAAAGCUAAUGACAUGCAUAACAGUGUGAUACAAACAGUGGAUUAUAGUUCCUUGAAUGCAGAGACUGUGCGUCCACUGGAGCUGUCAAAUACACACACCAGCAGUAGCAAUAUUCAUAUGCGUUUUAGGUAUCAAGUUCAAGUGUACAGUUUCUUUUAUUUGUUUAUAGAUGUAUCUGUGUAAUGAUUGGUAUAAACCAAUAAAAUGUGGUUAUAAUUGUUGUCUAAUUGUGUUAUGAAAAUAAUGUGUGA
ensembl:lncRNA